AGAGUUUGAUCCUGGCUCAGGAUGAACGCUGGCGGCGUGCCUAACACAUGCAAGUCGAGCGGCAGCGCGAGUAGUUUACUACUUGGCGGCGAGCGGCGAACGGCUGAGUAACGCGUGGGAAUUUGCCCCAAAGUGAGGAAUAACUGCCCGAAAGGGUGGCUAAUGCCGCAUAUGAUCUUCGGAUUAAAGGAUUUAUCCGCUUUGGGAGAAGCCCGCGUCGGAUUAGGUAGUUGGUGAGGUAAUGGCUCACCAAGCCGACGAUCCGUAGCUGGUCUGAGAGGAUGACCAGCCAGACUGGAACUGAGACACGGUCCAGACUCCUACGGGAGGCAGCAGUGAGGAAUCUUCCACAAUGGGCGAAAGCCUGAUGGAGCAACGCCGCGUGCAGGAUGAAGGCCUUCGGGUUGUAAACUGCUUUUAUAAGUGAGGAAUAUGACGGUAACUUAUGAAUAAGGAUCGGCUAACUACGUGCCAGCAGCCGCGGUCAUACGUAGGAUCCGAGCGUUAUCCGGAGUGACUGGGCGUAAAGAGUUGCGUAGGCGGUUUGUUAAGUGAAUAGUGAAAUCUGGUGGCUCAACCAUACAGGCUAUUAUUCAAACUGGCAAACUCGAGAGUGGUAGAGGUCACUGGAAUUUCUUGUGUAGGAGUGAAAUCCGUAGAUAUAAGAAGGAACACCGAUGGCGUAGGCAGGUGACUGGACCAUUUCUGACGCUAAGGCACGAAAGCGUGGGGAGCGAACCGGAUUAGAUACCCGGGUAGUCCACGCCGUAAACGAUGGAUACUAGCUGUUGGAGGUAUCGACCCC
rnacentral:rRNA from 1 species